GUCUCUGUAGCACAAUGGAUAGCGCGUUGGACUUCCAAUCCGAAGGUCAUGGUUUCGAACUCCACUUGGGAUG